GGCUGGUCUGAAGGCAGUGAGUUAUCUCAAUUGAUCACAGUCACUAACAGACUAAACUCUUUGUUCUACUUUUUACCCCCUUCUCACUAAUGCACUGAUGAGUCUUAA
ensembl:misc_RNA Y_RNA Y RNA